GUCCGCCUUUGGUGUGCAU
rnacentral:siRNA from 1 species